ensembl:lncRNA
AAAAAUGACAUUGUUCAUCCUAGAUGUUGCGGCUGGUCGUCUGUUAUUGUUCAUCGUUCUUUUCUAUCCGGUCCUAUCCAGUUUACAGAAACCAAUGAUGAGUGUCAGUCAUAAUGAGAAGGAUGUUAUCAUCACCUGUGAGAUUCCUCGACCUGCUGGUAAUGACACCACCUGUAAUCUGUAUGUUGGAGACCAGAGUCAACAUCUCCUGAAGACAAAGAUCUGGAAGAAAACAUCAUCCAGGUCCAAGACAUCAUUCUGUCUGUUCACUGUGACUGAAGAUGACCUGAUCAGACAUCUACAGUCAGUAGGGAGUCAGGAGGUGAGCUGUGACUACAGAGUGAGUUCAGGACCAAACUCUCUCUCUCCACGUAGUGACGGGUACAUUAUAACAAAUUUGCUAGCUAGUGCUGCUUUGAUCCCCAAAACCCCACUGAGGCCAACUACCAGUUCAACCUCUUAUUUGACCCCCACAGCAACUACAUCAGGUUGGACUGUUAGUGCUACUUUGACAAGUGACACCCCAAAGAGAACAAGUGAAGGUUUGACUGUUAGUUCUACUUUGACCACUGGUACCCCACAGAGUUCAACUGAAAGAGAUCAAAGUUCCCCAAAAAAUGAUGUGGAAGCCAACCAAGAGAGCAGUUUGGUGAUAUUAUGGCUUGCUGCAGUGGGUGUGGCUUCUGGAGUGGGUGUGUUCCUGGUGGGAUUGACAGUUGUUCGUCUCUGUAAGAAGACCAAAAGAAAGAAAUCUCAGAGACCUCCAGCCCAACAAGACAAUCAUGACCAACGUAUGGCCCAAUACAAACACUAAACACCACACACUAUGACUACUAUAUGUACAAACACACUAUAGACCAAUCAGCAUAUCAUUUCUGUUGUAGAAUUUGUGAUGGGAACCAAUAGGAGUGGAAGCAUGGUCGACUCAGGGAAUGACAGGCUUUGUUCUUUAAUGAGUUGUUUAUGACGGGCAGAGCGAAAACAUGCCUUGUGUAGACUAGCUACAUGAUGCCAGCUAGCUAGGUAGCGUACUUUAGCUUUCUCCAGGCUAAUUGAGAAUAAAUGUUUUAACUGUACGAUUUCUAAUCACACAAUCCAUUCAGAUUCAUUGAUAAUUAGCAAAUCUACCUUGUAGUUCCAUCUUCACAUGAUUUGCUACUGUAGAUAUAUCUCCUCAAGUGCCUAAAGUCAGUGUCACUUUGAUUACAUUGUGAUCACGAUGUGAAUUGGCAAGCUAAACAUGCCAAUUCACAUGGAAUUUUAUUAUUUUAACCAAAUACACAAGAAAAUGCCUGUAUAAACUUUAAGUUAAAGUUUCAGUUUGUGGCUUCCCUAGUUUUCACUGCAAUUUGUCCAAAUGUUCACUUUCCCAUUCUAUAUUGCUAUACAAUUCCCAGAAAUGCCUUGUCAAUAAGAUUUGAGGGUGUUGGAACUUUUUCUAUUUCAAAUCUUAGGUUAAUAUUGAGGAAGUUCUUGAUAAAAGAUUGUGUGACAUACAAUUCAGUCAUGUACAAGAAUGAUGACAAUCAUAGCACAUGUCAACAAAAUUGAAAUGGCAGUAUUGGGUUUGUAUAGGCAGACGCUCAAAGUUCUUUACUUGGAAUCGGUAUUGACUAUGAAAAGGUGUCUUAAUUCCAGUAGUACGAGAUGAUUUGGCCAUGAUGACGACAAGAUUGAAGUGUAGCCAGGUAACUAGGUAUAACACUCUUACUGUUUCAAUCAGUGCCAUGGCAUCUUUAGUGACCACAGACUCACACAGAAUAUUGUGUCCAAUCCAGUUGUUUAGCAGAUUGGAUUUUGGGUGAUUGGAUUUACAAAUAUCCAUGAAAACCUUUAACUAAUGCGCUUGUGUGCGCACAAACAUACACAUGGUUCUACUAUCAAAGUGAGAACUGGCAAUUUCCUACUAAAAUGUUUUGUUUUUAAUGACUUUGUAUGACUUUCUUUGUGGGGAAUGCUGACAGACACAUUAUCUCUCAUUAUGUCUCUUUCUGUGUGGUACAGGUCCUGUUGGAGAGAAUGGAGAAUCAUCUGAAUAUGUCAAUGUAAGCUCUGAAUCAUUGUUUUAUAACUUACAGUUUUUUGUUUUAUUUCUUAUGAAACUAAGCACCCGUUACCACUUUACUGCACCGUUUCUUUAGAAGCCUGUAAUGAAACUGUCUUUUCUCUCUCUAGUUUGAUACAUACCAGGAGUACUAUUCAAUCCAGCCUCAGCCCAAUGGCUUUCUGUAGAUAGUCUUCAAAGGUUUUAGUAUAGUUAAAUGUUCUAUUAUUAUUCUUUAUUCAAUCUCUUUGGAUUUGAAAUUGUCCACUUAUGUGCGAAAGUAUUAUCCAUAUUGGAUGAACAAUUUUAAAAUGACAAUGUUUUGUACAUAUUUCCUCCAUUAGGGUGCCAUAUGUAUUUCAACUGUUAUCUUCAAAACUGUUUCUUAUUAGAUUGUUUUUGAUUGCUUGUAUUAAAAGUGCAUAUCCAGCAG